GAUGAACGCUGGCGGCGUGCCUAAUACAUGCAAGUCGAGCGAACAGAUAAGGAGCUUGCUCCUUUGACGUUAGCGGCGGACGGGUGAGUAACACGUGGGUAACCUACCUAUAAGACUGGGAUAACUUCGGGAAACCGGAGCUAAUACCGGAUAACAUUUUGAACCGCAUGGUUCUAUAGUGAAAGACGGUUUUGCUAUCACUUAUAGAUGGACCCGCGCCGUAUUAGCUAGUUGGUAAGGUAACGGCUUACCAAGGCGACGAUACGUAGCCGACCUGAGAGGGUGAUCGGCCACACUGGAACUGAGACACGGUCCAGACUCCUACGGGAGGCAGCAGUAGGGAAUCUUCCGCAAUGGGCGAAAGCCUGACGGAGCAACGCCGCGUGAGUGAUGAAGGGUUUCGGCUCGUAAAACUCUGUUAUUAGGGAAGAACAAACGUGUAAGUAACUGUGCACGUCUUGACGGUACCUAAUCAGAAAGCCACGGCUAACUACGUG
rnacentral:rRNA from 1 species